rnacentral:rRNA from 1 species
AUUGAACGCUGGCGGCAGGCUUAACACAUGCAAGUCGAAUGAGUGGCGGACGGGUGAGUAAUGCUUGGGAAACUAGCUUAUGGAGGGGGAUAACUACGGGAAACUGUAGCUAAUACCGCGUACCAUAGGAUGAGCCCAAGGGGGAUGAGGUAGUUGGUGGGGUAAAGGUUCACCAAGGCGACGCUCGAUAGCUGGUCGGGGAGGAUGACCAGCCACACUGGGACGGAGACACGGUCCCGACUCCUACGGGAGGCAGCAGUGGGGAAUAUUGGGCAAUGGGGGCAACCUGACGCAGCCAUGCCGCGUGAAUGAAGAAGGCCUUCGGGUUGUAAAGGUCUUUCGGUAGCGAGGCGUUAACUACAGAAGAAGCACCGGCUAACUCCGUGCCAGCCGCCGCGGUAAUAC